rnacentral:rRNA from 1 species
UCCAUGAUUCAGCGGCGGACGGGUGAGUAAUGCCUAGGAAUCUGCCUAUUAGUGGGGGACAACGUUUCGAAAGGAACGCUAAUACCGCAUACGUCCUACGGGAGAAAGCAGGGGACCUUCGGGCCUUGCGCUAAUAGAUGAGCCUAGGUCGGAUUAGCUAGUUGGUGAGGUAAUGGCUCACCAAGGCGACGAUCCGUAACUGGUCUGAGAGGAUGAUCAGUCACACUGGAACUGAGACACGGUCCAGACUCCUACGGGAGGCAGCAGUGGGGAAUAUUGGACAAUGGGCGAAAGCCUGAUCCAGCCAUGCCGCGUGUGUGAAGAAGGUCUUCGGAUUGUAAAGCACUUUAAGUUGGGAGGAAGGGCAUUAACCUAAUACGUUAGUGUUUUGACGUUACCGACAGAAUAAGCACCGGCUAACUUCGUGCCAGCAGCCGCGGUAAUACGAAGGGUGCAAGCGUUAAUCGGAAUUACUGGGCGUAAAGCGCGCGUAGGUGGUUUGUUAAGUUGGAUGUGAAAGCCCCGGGCUCAACCUGGGAACUGCAUCCAAAACUGGCAAGCUAGAGUAUGGCAGAGGGUGGUGGAAUUUCCUGUGUAGC